rnacentral:rRNA from 1 species
AUUGAACGCUGGCGGCAUGCCUUACACAUGCAAGUCGAACGGUAACAGGUCUUCGGAUGCCGACGAGUGGCGAACGGGGGAGUAAUACAUCGGAACGUGCCUAGUAGUGGGGGAUAACUACUCGAAAGAGUGGCUAAUACCGCAUGAGAUCUACGGAUGAAAGCAGGGGAUCGCAAGACCUUGUGCUACUAGAGCGGCCGAUGGCAGAUUAGGUAGUUGGUGGGGUAAAAGCUUACCAAGCCGACGAUCUGUAGCUGGUCUGAGAGGACGAUCAGCCACACUGGGACUGAGACACGGCCCAGACUCCUACGGGAGGCAGCAGUGGGGAAUUUUGGACAAUGGGCGCAAGCCUGAUCCAGCAAUGCCGCGUGCAGGAUGAAGGCCUUCGGGUUGUAAACUGCUUUUGUACGGAACGAAAAGCCCUGGGUUAAUACCCUGGGGUCAUGACGGUACCGUAAGAAUAAGCACCGGCUAACUACGUGCCAGCCGCCGCUGUAACAC